rnacentral:tRNA from 1 species
GGCCCUAUGGUCAAGCGGUUAAGACAUCGCCCUUUCACGGCGGUAUCCCGAGUUCGAAUCUCGGUAGGGUCACCA